CGAUGAAGAUGAAUGGGGGGUAGGAGGGAGAAGAAGGAGCCGGGCACUUGGUACAGACGAGGGAAGGUGGCCUGAGGAUGGGUCCAGUGGGCCCAGGCUGGCUGGCUGCCUGGCCACGCAGCACCGCCCUGCAGACCUGGGGUAGACAAACACCCCUGGAGAGACCCCUGGAAAUGGACCCCAGGCAACCCUGCCAGCCCACGGGGGAAGCUCAUCUCCACUGGUCACAGAGCUGGCCCAUCUCUCCUCUGUUGCGUGCCCUGCGGGCUGGUGUGGCAGGCCCCCAGCACUCAUGGGGGCAGGCUUAUAUGCCAGCAGAGACCUCGGGAAGUGUUCACCACAUGAUGCGUUGGCCCCUUGAGUCCUCAAAACAGAGACCCUGUGAGGAGACGGAGAAGAUGGCCAUCUGCAUGCCCGGGAGAGGGGCCUCGGGGGACCCAGCCCUGCCCACUCCUUGAUCUUGGACUUUGAGCCUCCAGGAUGCUCUGAUUUCACGAGUGAUGCAUCGAGCCAUGCACACUAGACACCGAACAGAUCCAAGGACGAAGGAAGAAGCAGAGGUGACUCCUGCCACGUGGGAAAACGCCUUCGGACGCACGGGCGCCGCUUCACGCAGUCUGGUCUUGCAGGUGGCAUUGAAAGCCUGGCUCACCUCUCCCAACCUCAGCGCCUCUGCGGAGGUAAAACACUCACUGGAGUCGGCGUGACACCUCUCGGGGCUUCAAAGUCUGGAGGGAUGCUCGCUGCAGGCCUGUGACCUCUGCACUAAUCCCCGGAUAGCGUCCCGCUGCUCGUCUCCCGCUGAGCCGAGACUUCCUCCACGAAGACCUGGCAGCGUCUGGAUGGACGCACCAAGAGGCUGAGAAGAGCGAAGCCACAAGACACGAUGCUAAACAGCCACAGAGAAGAUUCCGACCAGGGGUGAAAAGGAAUUUCACAACAGCACAGGUUUCGAGAGGCUCUGGAGGAGCCCAAACUGGAGAAAAUCGACCGGUGUGGGGGCACCGCCUACUGGGGGGGGUCUUAUAGUCCAGAAGCCUCCAUUUCAGACUUUGCCUCAGGGGCUGGUAAGUAAAUGUCUGAAGUUAUGCAAGAAAGCUUUGAACAUAUCCCAAGAGACACCAGCUGCCUUUCCGAGAGCAGGCUCUCCAAUGGACAUCUGGGCUCAACGUCCGCUACGUAAUCUUCAAAGUACAUGUUCGGUCCUUGGCUCCAGAGGCUUUGUGGCCUUGUCCAAAUCUCAGAUUCUGCACCGUCACAACUUCAAAAAAUAAUACAGCGUUCCCAGGGGACCCGCUCCGGGGAUGGAGCCGACACUUUGUAACCCAAAACCUGUGAGGAAACUUCAGUUCAGGCGCCAAAGAGAGGCACCACUGCUGGUUACGAAGAUGAGAAACACCUGCCUCCAGGUAGCGACUGUUGCACAAAAUCACUGAAAGAUGGGCUGCAGAACUCAACUCCCUCCAGGACUGGAGAGUCCGAGCACUGCGUGAGCCUGCGUGAGACACAUCAUCCGUGUUCUUUCUCUAAGGCCCCCUGGUUGGGGCUGUCUUUCUACAGAAACCUGUACCUGCAUGUUCAUGGCCGACGAGUUCUCCGAGAAGGCCCUUCUGUGAGCUUCAGAGAAGCAAAGCCCCGUCCUCGGGAAGCACCGUCCAGGGUCCAGGGCCUCCAAACAGCCAACAGUCCUCUCAGUCACAGAAUGCGCCCUGCUGACCGUCGGUGCAGGUCGGCGGACAGAGAACCCAGCGUGAGGACUUGGAGGGGCCGGGAGUCAGGGUGGGGCGAGGACAAGGACCUUGGAAUUAAGCGACACUGGAGGGAACCCAGCCACCUCCGCAUUCUCGCCCUCCCCGCCCCACUCCCUUCCAGCUGGGCUGUCGAGGAGGGCGGCUGUAACAUCAGCUGAUGCCCUCGCUCUUGGAAACUGAUGACUGAUCGACUGCUUUGGUAAAAGUACUUCCAGACUCAGAAGGGAGGGAGGCGGCCGGACUAACACACCAGGUGACAUCUCGGUGCCUGAAUAUGCCCCACAUUUAUGCAUCCUUUCAACCGGGGACUAGGAGCAUCGGGCUGUCACUUGGGGGUAACGGCGGCCACGCAGCCAUAGACGCCCCCAGGUGGCUUUUCUUACUGGACACACCCUUUCAUUCCUAGGAGGGCACUGCUGUGUAUUGUAACAAUCCUGGGUUUAACUGGCAAACCUGAUGCCAAUUUCUCAUCUUUUUUUUUUUUUUUUUUUGGUUGCACCCACAGCAUGUGGAAAUUCCUCGGCCAGAGAGCGAACCUGCACCACAGCUGUGGCCGCCCCAGAUGCUUAACCCAGUGCUCCCAGAGGGACUCCCUGCUGCUCAUUUUUCUUUUCUUUUUUUUUUUUUUUUUUUUUUUUUUUGGUCUUUUUGCCUUUUCUAGGGCUGCUCCCGUGGCAUAUGGAGGUUCCCAGGCUAGGGGUUCAAUUGGAGCUGUGACCACCAGCCUACACCACAGCCACAGCAACACGGGAUCCAAGUCACGUCUGCGACCUACACCACAGCUCACGGCAAUGCCGGAUCCUUAACCCAAUGAGCAAGGGCAGGGCUCGAACCUGCAACCUCAUGGUUCCUAGUCAGAUUCGUUAACCACUGAGCCACGAUGGGAACUCCCCUGCUGCUCAUUUCUUUAAGGAACUUUCCUAGCCAUGAAAAUAAUGGGUCCAAUCACGCAGGCAUCUUUAACGUGACGAUGCAUAUGGUCAAGUUACACUCCUAAAAACUGGGCCAACCUCUGGCCCCGCCGGCAGCGCAGGGGGACAUGCUGACGGUACACAUCUGGGCUCCAGAUGCUCAAGGAGGGCCCACAGUCACGGGACCUGUUUGGAGCGGCAGGGACUCCCGAGGCAGCCACUCCUCUCCUGGACGAGCUCUGUGGAAGGAUCCAGAGCUCCGGGCUCCCCGCCCAGGCUGCUGCUUGCUGGCCAAGCCCCCUCGAGCUAGGGGUUCAUUUUUUCUUCGGCAAAAGAUAACCCUCUUCUGCCCGCCCCCCUCAGCGGAUCGGCAGAGGAAUGCUUUUGUCAUGUAGACACGCCAGACACCAAUGACUGGCCACAGGAUCACUUUUGAGAAGCACUGCUCACCUGGGUUGUCCCCAAGCCUCAGGACUUGGGGGGGGGAUGUGGGCUUGGGGUCCCUGGUUGGUUGGCUUGCGAGAUAUCGGCUUCAGCAGAACGUG
rnacentral:lncRNA from 1 species